UGGUUAAGAAAGAAAGAAUAAUAAAAGUUUGAAGUUUGUUUUGAAAGAUGUACUCAACCCCACCACUUUAGAAGUUUGUUUUGUCCUUAAGUCUUGUUUGCUCCCUAGUCCAUAGAUGUCAUAUCUCUUCUAGUCCCAAUUGUGAAUA